AAUAGAUACCCAGGUAGUCCACGCCGUAAACGAUGAGUGCUAAGUGUUAGAGGGUUUCCGCCCUUUAGUGCUGCAGCUAACGCAUUAAGCACUCCGCCUGGGGAGUACGGCCGCAAGGCUGAAACUCAAAGGAAUUGACGGGGGCCCGCACAAGCGGUGGAGCAUGUGGUUUAAUUCGAAGCAACGCGAAGAACCUUACCAGGUCUUGACAUCCUCUGACAACCCUAGAGAUAGGGCUUUCCCCUUCGGGGGACAGAGUGACAGGUGGUGCAUGGUUGUCGUCAGCUCGUGUCGUGAGAUGUUGGGUUAAGUCCCGCAACGAGCGCAACCCUUGAUCUUAGUUGCCAGCAUUCAGUUGGGCACUCUAAGGUGACUGCCGGUGACAAACCGGAGGAAGGUGGGGAUGACGUCAAAUCAUCAUGCCCCUUAUGACCUGGGCUACACACGUGCUACAAUGGAUGGUACAAAGGGCUGCAAACCUGCGAGGGUAAGCGAAUCCCAUAAGGCCAUUCUCAGUUCGGAUUGCAGG
rnacentral:rRNA from 1 species